GGAGGCAGCAGUGGGGGAUUUUCCGCAAUGGGCGAAAGCCUGACGGAGCAAUACCGCGUGAGGGAGGAAGGCUCUUGGGUUGUAAACCUCUUUUCUCAGGGAAGAAGCUCUGACGGUACCUGAGGAAUCAGCAUCGGCUAACUCCGUGCCAGCAGCCGCGGUAAUACGGAGGAUGCAAGCGUUAUCCGGAAUGAUUGGGCGUAAAGCGUCCGCAGGUGGCGAUUCAAGUCUGCUGUCAAAGGUCGGGGCUCAACCCUGAACAGGCGGUGGAAACUGAACAGCUAGAGUGCGGUAGGGGUAGAGGGAAUUCCCGGUGCAGCGGUGAAAUGCGUAGAGAUCGGGAAGAACACCAGUGGCGAAAGCGCUCUACUAGGCCUGCACUGACACUCAGGGACGAAAGCUAGGGGAGCGAAUGGGAUUAGAUACCCCAGUAGUCCUAGCCGUAAACGAUGGAUACUAGGCGUGGCUUGUAUCGACCCGAGCCGUGCCGGAGCUAACGCGUUAAGUAUCCCGCCUGGGGAGUACGCGCGCAAGCGUGAAACUCAAAGGAAUUGACGG
rnacentral:rRNA from 1 species